rnacentral:rRNA from 1 species
GAUGAACGCUGGCGGCGUGCCUAAUACAUGCAAGUCGAGCGAACAGACGAGGCUCUUGCUCCUCUGACGUUAGCGGCGGACGGGUGAGUAACACGUGGAUAACCUACCUAUAAGACUGGGAUAACUUCGGGAAACCUGAUCUAAUACCGGAUAAUAUAUUGAACCGCAUGGUUCAAUAGUGAACGACGGUUUUGCUGUCACUUAUAGAUGUAUCCUCGCCGCAUUAGCUAGUUGGUAAGGUAACGGCUUACCAAGGCAACGAUGCGUAGCCGACCUGAGAGGAUGAUCGGCCACACUGGAACUGAGACACGGUCCAGACUCCUACGGGAGGCAGCAGUAGGGAAUCUUCCGCAAUGGGCGAAAGCCUGACGGAGCAACGCCGCGUGAGUGAUGAAGGUCUUCGGAUCGUAAAACUCUGUUAUUAGGGAAGAACAAAUGUGUAAGUAACUAUGCACGUCUUGACGGUACCUAAACAGAAAGCCACGGCUAACUACGUG